rnacentral:rRNA from 1 species
AACUUACGCGUGAGGCCUCUGGGUCAACCUCCCACCCGUGUCUAUCGUACCUUGUUGCUUCGGCGGGCCCGCCGUUUCGACGGCCGCCGGGGAGGCCUUGCGCCCCCGGGCCCGCGCCCGCCGAAGACCCCAACAUGAACGCUGUUCUGAAAGUAUGCAGUCUGAGUUGAUUAUCGUAAUCAGUUAAAACUUUCAACAACGGAUCUCUUGGUUCCGGCAUCGAUGAAGAACGCAGCGAAAUGCGAUAAGUAAUGUGAAUUGCAGAAUUCAGUGAAUCAUCGAGUCUUUGAACGCACAUUGCGCCCCCUGGUAUUCCGGGGGGCAUGCCUGUCCGAGCGUCAUUGCUGCCCUCAAGCACGGCUUGUGUGUUGGGCCCCCGUCCCCCUCUCCCGGGGGACGGGCCCGAAAGGCAGCGGCGGCACCGCGUCCGGUCCUCGAGCGUAUGGGGCUUUGUCACCUGCUCUGUAGGCCCGGCCGGCGCCAGCCGACACCCAACUUUAUUUUUCUAAGGUUGACCUCGGAUCAGGUAGGGAUACCCGCUGAACUUAAGCAUAUCAAUAAGCGGAGGAA